GCUSCUACCGAUUGRAUGDYCCGGUGAAAUUUCGGGACCGCAGCAACGCAGCUGGUUCGCCAGCAGUGAUGCCGCGGGAACUUACUUAAACCUUAUCAUUUAGAGGAAGGAGAAGUCGUAACAAGGUUUCCGUAGGUGAACCUGCGGAAGGAUCAGUA
rnacentral:rRNA from 1 species